CGUAGGUGGCAAGCGUUGUCCGGAUUUAUUGGGUUUAAAGGGUGCGUAGGCGGCCCUGUAAGUCAGUGCUGAAAUAUCCCGGCUUAACCGGGAGGUGGCAUUGAUACUGCAGGGCUUGAGUAAAGUUGAGGUAGGCGGAAUUGACGGUGUAGCGGUGAAAUGCUUAGAUAUCGUCAAGAACACCGAUAGUGUAGACAGCUUACUAAGCUUUAACUGACGCUGAGGCACGAAAGUGUGGGGAUCAAACAGGACUAGAUACCCUGGUAGUCCACACUGUAAACGUUGAAGACUCGCUGUUGGCGAUACACAGUUAGCGGCUGAGAGAAAUCGUUAAGUCUUCCACCUGGGGAGUACGCCGGCAACGGUG
rnacentral:rRNA from 1 species